AAAAGGUAGGCUGAGCUUCAGACCCUUGUGCGGACAGUAGAGGAUGCAUUUAUGAUCUAUGUUAACAUAGUCAAAAGAGUUGGAUGAUGGAUGGUGGUGGAUGCAUCCCAGAAUUAUCUUAAGCCACACCCUCAAAUUCUUGUGGAGCUCUUGAUUCUUAGAGGAUGUUCAUCCUUCGGGGUUUUGGGAGAAGAUGGUGGGGAU
rnacentral:lncRNA from 1 species